rnacentral:rRNA from 1 species
GGUUAAGCGACUAAGCGUACACGGUGGAUGCCCUGGCAGUCAGAGGCGAUGAAGGGCGUGCUAAUCUGCGAUAAGCGCCGGUAAGGUGAUAUGAACCGUUAUAACCGGCGAUACCCGAAUGGGGAAACCCAGUGUGACUCGUCACACUAUCAUUAACUGAAUCCAUAGGUUAAUGAGGCGAACCGGGGGAACUGAAACAUCUAAGUACCCCGAGGAAAAGAAAUCAACCGAGAUUCCCCCAGUAGCGGCGAGCGAACGGGGAGGAGCCCAGAGCCUGAAUCAGCAUGUGUGUUAGUGGAAGCGUCUGGAAAGGCGCGCGAUACAGGGUGACAGCCCCGUACACAAAAGCGCAUGUGCUGUGAGCUCGAUGAGUAGGGCGGGACACGUGGUAUCCUGUCUGAAUAUGGGGGGACCAUCCUCCAAGGCUAAAUACUCCUGACUGACCGAUAGUGAACCAGUACCGUGAGGGAAAGGCGAAAAGAACCCCGGCGAGGGGAGUGAAAAAGAACCUGAAACCGUGUACGUACAAGCAGUGGGAGCACCCUUUGGGGUGUGACUGCGUACCUUUUGUAUAAUGGGUCAGCGACUUAUAUUCUGUAGCAAGGUU